GUGCUCGCUUUGGCAGCACAUAUACUAAAAAUUGGAACGAUACAGAGAAGAUUGGCAUGGCCCCUGCGCAAGGAUGACACGCAGAUUCGUGAAGCGUUCCAUAUUUUU